ensembl:lncRNA
GGCGAGGACCUGGCGGUGUACGGCAGCAAAGCGGCCUACGCGUCCAGGAACCACGUGCCAGGGAGCUGCUCCACCACGGGCAGCUCCUCGUCCCGGGGCUCCUCUGGCUCCCGGGGGCCCCCCUCCUCCUCCUCCACCACCAGGAAGCACAGCGAGGGGGAGAGAGUAGCGUUGGGAGUGCCUCAGUAGGAGUGAGUGAUGAACAACAGAAAUCCACUAGUUCAGAGCAACCGGCAGGACAUGAGAUAAGGAGUACCUUCAACGCACGCACACACACACACACACACACACACACACACACACACAAACAGACAGAGCUUUUCCCACCAUGGAAGCAAGUGGAAGAAAACGACGAGGGAAAAGAGUCUGAGCUUCUCUGCAGCGUUGUUUUUUUCCAUGGGGACCCAGCCCACUGGCUGUGAAAGAUCAACAGACUUUUCAUCCUAGUUUCAUCUGGUAUUACUCUGAUUAUUUAUGGCCUAAUCCGGAUUUGCUCCUUUAUUUGUAAAUAUUCAUCCAUGUACUGUUCAUUUGUGAGUUCUCGAUACAAGGGGAGGGGGGGAAAGACGUAUAUUGUAUUUAUAAGCAUCAAGAACACAAAUGUAAAAUAAUGGUUCCUUAUUAUUAUUAUUAUUAUUAUUACUAUGAAAGAAAUAUCAUGUCGUCUUGAAUGUGCCAACUGCUCUCUCUCUCUCUCUCUCUCUCUCUCUUGCUCUCCCCCCCUUCUCCCUUUUUUGUUUUAGAUUAUUUUUAUUCAAAAUGUAUACGCUGAGAAAGAGAGCGGCCAGCGGCCCUUUCUCUGUUGUCAUCGCGAAGCAACAGAAAACCUGAAGCACAAAGUGUGUUUGUUUGUUG